rnacentral:rRNA from 1 species
CACGUAGGGGGCUAGCGUUGUCCGGAAUCAUUGGGCGUAAAGCGCGUGUAGGCGGCCCGGUAAGUCCGCUGUGAAAGUCGGGGGCUCAACCCUCGGAUGCCGGUGGAUACUGUCGGGCUCGAGUACGGAAGAGGCGAGUGGAAUUCCUGGUGUAGCGGUGAAAUGCGCAGAUAUCAGGAGGAACACCGAUUGCGAAGGCAGCUCGCUGGGACGUGACUGACGCUGAGACGCGAAAGCGUGGGGAGCAAACAGG